GUCAAAUGCUUAAAUCAGAUGGUACGCUAGGCAUAUAUGGGCAAACUGGAAAAAAGACUGGAGGGGUGAAGAAAGGAGAAGAAAAUUCCGACAGAUUGUUAGGGCACCAUUUGAGGUAAUUUCAUAGUCCAAACUUGAUGAUUUAAGCGAGUUAGGAGAAGGCAUUAUAGAAACACUAUUUAAGUAUAACAAGGAAGCAUGGUGUAGGGAAUAUUUUAAAGAACAUAGCAAGUGUGAUGUGGUUGAGAACAACAUGUGUGAGACUUUCAACAGUUGGAUUGUAGGUGCUAGGUUCAAAUCAAUAAUCACUAUGCUAUAGGAAAUAAGAGUCAAAGUUAUGGAAAGAAUGAAUUAAAUGAGAGAAUUUUCAGAAAAAUGUAUUACUGAUGUAUCACCUAUGGCUAUGGAUAUUCAUAGAAAAAAUGCUGAAAUUGCAGAUAAUUGUGAGGUAAGGUUUAGUGGUGAUCAUGGCUUUGAGAUUCAUGAUCCACCAUAUAAACAUGUUGUUGACCUAAAAAGAAGGUGUGUAGUUGUAGGUCAUGGCAAUUAAAGGGAAUUCCUUGUGGUCAUGCACUUACAACAAUUCAUUUUAAGAUUGGGUUGUUGAGUCAUUUGUCGACCACUGGUAUAAGAAGAAAACAUACCUGAAAGCAUAUAACAAAUUUAUUCAACCUAUGACAAACAUUAAGAUGUGGCCAAAAAGUGAUAGACCAGCCAUUGAACCACCUGAAAUAACAUCCAUGCUAGAAAGCCCGAAAAUUGGAGAAAAGAUAGUGAUGAGCCAGUUAAGAAGAAGUUUGGAAAGGCUACAAGGAAGGGAAGAAAAAUGAAAUGUUCUGUGUGUAAGACUUUUGGACAUAAUAAGACAGGAUGUCCAACUCUGGUAAGUUGAGUUUUUAUAUCUCUUUGUUAUUAAAUUUUAUACUUUGGUAAGUUGUGCUUUAAUGCCUCUAUGCUUGUAGUAAAAUGUUGGUGCUGGAACAAGUGAUGCAAGUGUUGGAACUUCAAAUGUUGCCACUAGAACUCCACGUGCAGGUAUAGGUGAAGGUCCAGAGGAAGUUCCAUGUGCAGGUACAAGUGAAGGUCCAAGGGAAGUUCCAUGUGCAGGUCCAAGUGCAGGUCUAAGGGCAGUUCUAAGGGCAGGUCCAAGUGCAGGUCAAAGGGAAGUUCCAUGUGCAGAUCCAAGUGUAGGUCCUAGGGUAGUUUCAAGUGAAGGUCCAAGGGAAGUUCCCUGUUCAUAUCCAAGUGCAGGUCCUAGGGCAGUUUUAUGUGAAGGUCCAAGGGAAGUUCCAUGUGCAGGUCCAAGGGCAGUUCCAAGUUUCACUCAACAAUCAACUUCUAGUGCAACUGGCCAAAAAAAGAAAAACUAGCACAACUUUGAGAGGAGGUGCAUCUCUUGACUAUAAGAAACCAAGACAAAAACAAGCGAAGACAACUGAGAGGUCUGAAAAUAUUUAUAGGGUAUUACAUAGUGCUACAUUGACAAGUUCAACUCCUACCAAUAUUGAUCUUGGUUAUAAACCCAAAGGACUAAGGUGGAAGGGAAGAGCUGCAAUUACUCAAAGGCAGCUACGAGAGGAAAGUUACAGAAGCACUCAAGGCACACCAAGCACUCAAGUCACUCAAGGAACACAUUAGAUUUCACUUUAUUUAGCUUAAUGACAUGAUCCCCAACUAACUUUAUUUUGAUUAAUGACUUGAUCCCAACUGUUUUGUAUAUGAAUUUGUGUUAAAUUGCUAUUGGGAAGACUUUGUUUUUCUUGUA